UACGAAGGGGGCUAGCGUUGCUCGGAAUCACUGGGCGUAAAGGGUGCGUAGGCGGUCCUUUAAGUCCGGGGUGAAAUCCUGGAGCUCAACUCCAGAACUGCCUUUGAUACUGAGGAUCUUGAGUUCGGGAGAGGUGAGUGGAACUGCGAGUGUAGAGGUGAAAUUCGUAGAUAUUCGCAAGAACACCAGUGGCGAAGGCGGCUCACUGGCCCGAUACUGACGCUGAGGCACGAAAGCGUGGGGAGCAAACAGG
rnacentral:rRNA from 1 species